rnacentral:rRNA from 1 species
UACAGAGGGGGCAAGCGUUAUUCGGAAUUAUUGGGCGUAAAGGGCGCGUAGGCGGCUUUGCAAGUGACGGGUGAAAUCCCUCGGCUUAACCGAGGAACUGCCUGUCAAACUGCAUGGCUUGAGACCGGGAGAGGUGAGUGGAAUUCCCAGUGUAGCGGUGAAAUGCGUAGAGAUGUGGAGGAACACCAGUGGCGAAGGCGACUCUUUGGUCUGUAACUGACGCUGAGGCGCGAAAGCGUGGGGAGCAAACAGG